GUGUUUCAGCAGCACAUACAUUAAAAUUGGAAUGAUACACUGAAGAUUAACAUGGCCUCUGAGCAAGGAUGACAUGCAAAUUCAUGAAGCAUUCCAUUUUUUU